rnacentral:lncRNA from 1 species
CUAGUCAGCGAUCCGAAAGAAAAUAAAGCUCAAAAGAUCAGUAAUAAAAAACAAAGGAAAAGAGUAGUAAGGAUGAUUCGUUACCUUUGUUGUCACUACUGUCACCGUAGAGUGCAAGGAUCUGGAUGAGAAGGGGCGACGGCAAUGUGGCCACCGCUGCUGUGAAAGGAAGAAAGUCAGAGAAGAGGAGAAGGAGCGGGACAAGAAGAAGAGAAGGAGGAAGAUAAGAAGAGAAAAAGUGGGGCGAAGGGAAGAGAGGCAGAGAACAAGUGAUGAGUGGGGCAGUGGCAGCACCAGCGCCGCCGGCGAGAGGAAGUUGAGAGACUUGAGGAGAGACAGAGAGGGUCGGAGAUUAGGGUUUAGAGAGUUGUGAAUUUUGAAUUAAGAAGAGCUUUUAUAUGCCUAAGUUGGGUUAGGAUAAAAUUACGUCACUACACUUAAUUUCAGUUCAGUAGCUGUAAUUCCUUCAAGGGUUGCCCUCCUGGAUCGUAUUUCAAGUGAUCGAACCGAUUUCCUCACUCGACGACCCUAGUCUCGUUCACACGAUUCAGAUUUUCUGUUGGGCCCAACUUGAGCUUGAGCCCAAAUUAAUUCCAAUUCAACAUAAUUAAACCCAAUGGAAAUCCUUUAACAAAUUAAUAAACGAAUUGGGAUAAGUUUAAUUAGCUUAAUUAAUGUUACUGUUAAAAUCGUUUUCUAAUCUAAUAAUCAUCAAAACUAAAUGAUCCAAAUAACUCAUUUAAUCAGUAACAAUAUAACAAAAAUAAAGACUGUUCUCACUAAAUAAAAGUUUGGAGGAAAACAUGAUUAAAAGCGAUUAAAAUGACCAACUAUUGCUUAGUUUGACACCAUUUACAUCUUGAACCCAAAGACUAUAAAACGACCCAAAAUAUGACGUCAAAAUCGAGAAAAUAUGGGGUUCUUUGUUCAAAACAGGUUUCUGGAAUUUCAUUAAAACAUGCAAAAUAAUCGAAGUUUUCAACAAAUAAACUACAACGAUUGUACUAAAAUUAAUAAGUCAUUUUGAUCUACAUUUGUGUCUUUAUGUCUAGGAAUGGGUAAUUAUAGCUUGACUUUAUCUAAUUCUGUCCUCCGGUUAAAAAAUUGAAGUAAUUUCAGACACUGUUUUACCUUCCUGAGUAGAGUUUUUCCUCUACUCAAACUUUCUCGAGCAAAGUUAGGUUCGCGCUCUCUGCACCUGAAGUCAAAAUAAAAAUCUAUUUUCUUUGUGUUAACCGACAAAAGUGGAUCUCUUUAAAAUAGGAAUAAGUGUGUUUCACCUCGUUUCGGUCCCAUCGUCGGCAUGCCUUGCAGUGAGGGUCGAGCCAUCGUCCGUGCAUCCUUCUUUUUUCCUCUUUAGUCAACGGCCCCAAAGAAAAUCGAAGUAAAAAAGCUAAAACGAUCAGUAAUUAAAAAUAAAUGGAAGAAGCUUGUACAACCCAGAAUUUCGUAGAUCGGUGUUGCAUGUCAGUGGAGGACUCGCCGGAGGCGCGGGUGACAUGAACCCCGAAACUUAUUAUUUUGAAAAAAGAAAAGGAAUAGAGGAGUAAGGACGAUUUGCUAUCUCUAUCGUCUCCGCUGUCACCGUAGAGUUGACAGAGAUGAGAUGGAGAUACGCGGCAGCACUACCACCAUCACCGUGAGACGAAGAAGAAGAAGCAGAAGCAAAGGAGGGAAAAAGAGGUAAGAACAAAAGAAGAAGAAAAGACGAGGAGCCAAGAGAAGAGAGGCAGAGAAGAAAGUGAUUAGUGAGGCGACGGUGGUGCUACUACUGCCAUCGAGAGGAAGUUGAGAGAACAUAAAAGAGAGAGAGAGGAUCGGCGGCUAGGGUUUAGAGAGUUGUG